rnacentral:lncRNA from 1 species
UAGGGAGCUCUAGUGACUGUCCUGAAGUAAUAGAUUUGACUGAAUAAACAUCGUGCAGCCACAUCAGAACCAAACAAAACAACAAACAAACAAACAAACAACAACCGAGCUCAUUCAAGUCUCUGCCACACCCCUUAAGUGAAACUAGAUGAACUGAUUUCAUGCCAACUGGGAAUAUUCUACGAAUCUAUGGUGACAAAUCCAUUCUCCUUCUCCAAGCACUAAAAGUUCCUUUGCAGAUUUGCCAGACAUGAGGAAGAUCUCACAGGGAGAUGUGGAAAAAAAAAAAGGAAAGACGUUGAAAAAGGACAACAGUGAUGUACGACACUGACAUGGCAAGGAUUUUAUGGAAGCUGUUAUCAUCCCAGCAACCAGAAAUGAGAAGGGAUGAAGUCAGAUAGGAAGGUUUGCCCUACUCUAAUU